AUGGUUCAUCGCCCACAGAAAAAUGUAGUUUAUAUGUUCAUCCAAAGCUAGAAUGACAUCAGACUCACAGUUGCCGCGGUAACAGUCCUCGUUCAGUCACUGAAACCCGUUGAUUGUAAGCUAUGGUAUGAACUCUUUAGAAUUUGGUCACGUGACCUCAGCCUGGUUUAUGACGACGACAAGCUAGGUCAGCUGGUCGCUGCCAUUUUUGAAAACAUGACUGUGUGCUAUAUAUGUGUCUUAUUUCAGAUAAACACAGAGUUCAGAGGUUGACCGCCCCCCCGCUCCAGUCCCGUUUGUUCUCUCAGCUGGACAUUCUGUGUGACAAACUCCUAACCCUGUAUCAGAAGAGGGAGGACGAAGUGGAACGAAGCUGAAGCAGCUGAUGGAACGCAGGACAGACGUCAGAGGACAGAAAAGGGUCUUUUUGUUCAACUUGUAGAAAAGUGAUGGUGGAAAUAACGGGUUAAAGAGGCCCCUGUUAACACAUUUCUGUAACUCAUGUAGAAUCCCAGUGUCACAUCUGUCAUGGUGCUUUUGGUGUUAAAGCAGAUGUUGUGGAACAUCAAGCUUUUAGCAAUGUUACAACAUUGUUCCCUCAUCCAAACAUGUCUGGAGUGCUGUUUCACUUCAUUCACUCCAUUCUGAGUACUCCUGUUUCUUCUUCUACUUGCAUUCAGGGAUCCAGGGAAGAAGAUGUGGAUGCUGGGAGGGAGUCCAUUCUGAAGGCAUUAAGCGUCUGCUUGAACGAAGACCCUGACGGCUGAUUAAAGAGCAUGUGGGAAGCAGUGAAGCCGUCUUUGAGGACUACGCAGAAGACACCACUGUAGGAAUCUUCACUACAAAACAAGACGAGGCCCAGUCCAAAGCAGAGGACAUCGGAAUCAUCCUGGAAGGACAAAUAGUCAUCAAGAAGUGGACAAUGUUCCGUUGGCCGUCGCCCUCCUCUGUGGACUCCUGUAGGCCCUAAAUGUGGACGAUCCUCCUGAACAGAGGAACUUUUUUGAAGUGGUCCAAAAGGUGAUCAUGGAGCUUGAUGGGGGCAGCCUUUCCAGAACAGCUCAGGUCCUGAAAAACAGACUCCUUGAAUGGUGCUUUGUGAUGUUUGAUGUUUGCAUUUUGCUCUGCUCGUUGGGCCUCAUGUUGUCUUGCAGUGUUCUAAAAAGUAGCUGUUGAUAGGUUCAUGUAAUUAUUGUUCAAGUGUUUUACUGAUCUGUGUUUAAAUAAAAAAGGUCAGACUGUC